rnacentral:sRNA from 1 species
UAGCAGACACUCUUGCCCUUGCAUCUGCAGGAACAGAAGUGUGUCCCGGCCAGUGGAGAACUCUCCCCGGAGCUCCAGGAGUGGACACCUUACUCGCCUGGGCAUUCCAGCCGGCACAGCAACCCCCCGCUAUACCCUAGCAGGCCGUCUGUGGGCACUGUUCCCCGGAGUUUGACCCCCAGCACCACCGUGAGCUCCAUCCUGCGGAACCCCAUCUACACUGUGCGCAGCCACAGGGUCGGCCCCUGCAGCUCUCCACCUGCGGCCCGAGAUGCUGGCCCCCAGGGUUUGCAUCCCAGUGUCCAGCACCAGGGACGCCUGAGCCUGGACCUAAGCCACAGGACCUGCAGUGACUACUCUGAGAUGAGAGCCACCCAUGGGUCCAACUCACUGCCCUCCAGCGCCCGCCUCGGUUCUUCAAGUAACUUGCAGUUCAAGGCGGAACGCAUUAAAAUCCCAUCAACACCAAGAUAUCCACGGAAUGUCGUGGGCUCCGACAGAGGUUCAGUGUCACAUUCUGAAUGCAGCACUCCUCCACAGUCACCCCUGAACAUCGACACCCUGUCCUCUUGUAGCCAGUCCCAGACCUCAGCCUCCACAUUGCCCAGAAUCGCUGUCAACCCCGCGUCCCUCGGGGAGCGGAGAAAGGACAGGCCUUAUAUGGAGGAGCCACGCCACGUGAAGGUGCAGAAGGGCUCAGAGCCGCUGGGCAUCUCCAUCGUGAGUGGAGAGAAGGGUGGCAUCUACGUCUCCAAGGUGACCGUGGGGAGCAUUGCUCACCAGGCCGGCCUCGAGUACGGGGAUCAGUUACUGGAGUUCAACGGCAUAAACCUGCGGAGCGCCACGGAGCAGCAGGCACGGCUCAUCAUCGGGCAGCAGUGUGAUACCAUCACCAUCCUGGCCCAGUACAACCCCCACGUGCACCAGCUCAGCAGCCACUCCCGGUCCAGCUCACACCUGGACCCUGCCAGUACGCACUCCACUCUCCAGAGCAGUGGCACCACCACCCCGGAGCAUCCCUCUGUCAUCGACCCACUGAUGGAGCAGGACGAGGGGCCUAGCACCCCCCCAGCCAAGCAGAGCAGCUCCAGGAUUGCGGGAGAUGCCAACAAGAAGACCCUGGAGCCACGGAUUGUCUUCAUCAAAAAGUCCCAGCUGGAGCUUGGGGUGCACUUGUGUGGUGGGAACCUGCAUGGGGUGUUUGUGGCUGAAGUGGAGGAUGACAGUCCUGCCAAGGGUCCUGACGGCCUCGUGCCGGGGGACCUCAUCCUGGAGUAUGGCAGCCUGGACGUGCGGAACAAGACAGUGGAGGAAGUCUACGUGGAGAUGCUGAAGCCCAGGGAUGGCGUCCGCCUGAAGGUGCAGUACCGCCCCGAGGAGUUCACGAAGGCCAAGGGCCUGCCUGGUGACAGCUUCUACAUCAGGGCCUUAUACGACCGGCUGGCAGAUGUGGAGCAUGAGUUGAGCUUUAAGAAGGAUGACAUUCUCUACGUGGAUGACACCUUGCCCCAGGGCACGUUCGGGUCCUGGAUGGCUUGGCAGCUGGACGAGAAUGCCCAGAAGAUCCAGCGCGGGCAGAUUCCCAGCAAAUAUGUGAUGGACCAAGAAUUCUCCAGGAGGCUCAGCAUGUCUGAAGUCAAAGAUGACAAUAGCGCCACAAAGACGCUGUCAGCGGCUGCACGCCGGUCCUUUUUUCGGAGGAAACACAAGCACAAACGCAGCGGGUCCAAGGACGGGAAAGACCUGCUCGCCUUGGAUGCCUUUUCCAAUGACUCCAUUCCACUCUUUGAAGAUUCGGUGAGCCUGGCCUAUCAGCGGGUCCAGAAGGUGGACUGCACUGCUCUGAGGCCUGUCCUGAUUCUGGGGCCUUUGCUGGACGUGGUGAAGGAGAUACUGGUGAAUGAGGCUCCUGGCAAGUUCUGCAGAUGUCCCCUUGAGGUGAUGAAGGCCUCCCAGCAGGCCAUUGAGCGGGGUGUCAAAGAUUGCCUGUUUGUCGACUAUAAGCGGAGAAGCGGCCAUUUCGAUGUGACCACUGUGGCGUCAAUAAAGGAGAUCACAGAAAAGAACCGACACUGCCUCCUGGACAUUGCUCCACACGCUAUUGAGCGGCUCCACCACAUGCACAUCUACCCCAUUGUCAUCUUCAUCCACUACAAGAGCGCCAAGCACAUCAAGGAGCAGAGAGACCCCAUCUACCUGAGGGACAAGGUGACUCAGAGGCAUUCCAAAGAGCAGUUUGAGGCGGCACAGAAGGUUGAGCAGGAGUAUAGCAGGUACUUCACAGGGGUCAUCCAGGGAGGAGCCCUGUCAAGCAUUUGCACUCAGAUCUUGGCAAUGGUCAAUCAAGAACAAAAUAAAGUCCUGUGGAUUCCAGCCUGCCCGCUCUAGGAGAAUGCUGUGCUGUGGAUGACUGCAGCUGGACGCCUGAGGGGACGCCGGGCUCAGCUCUUUUCUAGCAACUGAAAUUAGAAGUCUGUCCGUCUAUGAACAUGCAGGGGAAGGAUCCGGAACCAGGACCCAGAAGCACCUCCUUUGUAGACAGAGGGCCACGGCUGCAUGCGAUCCAGGCCCAGGCCCACACACUCUGCCCGUGUCACACGUGUGCUUUAACACAAAACAGAUAACACUAAAGACGGGUUCAGCACCCACCUUUCUUUAGCCAGCUGAUCAGAGAUGCUGCAAAGAGUACCUUUCGGAUCACUCGUUUACAAGCCUUUUCUAAGUAUUUGGUGGUUUAUGUUUACUUGAACGGCUCCAUGUUGCCGGUGCCCAGCCUCUGCCCCCUCUGUCAACCCCCUGUCGCUUUGGUAUUGGUUUCAUUCCCGUCUUCAGCAAAACGACCUUGGAACCUCAAUGGGGGCUGCUUUGCUUUGGGAGGUUCUUGUUGGUGGGACCAGAGCUUUGACAAACCUCCUGCUCCUUGGUGG